GUGCCAGCCGCCGCGGUAAGACGUAGGGGGCGAGCGUUGUCCGGAUUUAUUGGGCGUAAAGCGCGCGUAGGCGGCUCGUUAAGUCGGUGGUGAAAACCCGGAGCUCAACUCCGGGCCUGCCUCCGAUACUGGCGGGCUGGAGGCAGGUAGGGGAGAGUGGAAUUCCUGGUGUAGCGGUGAAAUGCGCAGAUAUCAGGAGGAACACCGGUGGCGAAGGCGGCUCUCUGGACCUGUCCUGACGCUCAGGCGCGAAAGCUAGGGGAGCAAACAGGAUUAGAAACCCGAGUAGUCC
rnacentral:rRNA from 1 species